rnacentral:rRNA from 1 species
CGAUUAGAGUUUGAUCAUGGCUCAGAUUGAACGCUGGCGGCAGGCCUAACACAUGCAAGUCGAGCGGUAGAGAGAAGCUUGCUUCUCUUGAGAGCGGCGGACGGGUGAGUAAUGCCUAGGAAUCUGCCUGGUAGUGGGGGAUAACGUUCGGAAACGGACGCUAAUACCGCAUACGUCCUACGGGAGAAAGCAGGGGACCUUCGGGCCUUGCGCUAUCAGAUGAGCCUAGGUCGGAUUAGCUAGUUGGUGGGGUAAUGGCUCACCAAGGCGACGAUCCGUAACUGGUCUGAGAGGAUGAUCAGUCACACUGGAACUGAGACACGGUCCAGACUCCUACGGGAGGCAGCAGUGGGGAAUAUUGGACAAUGGGCGAAAGCCUGAUCCAGCCAUGCCGCGUGUGUGAAGAAGGUCUUCGGAUUGUAAAGCACUUUAAGUUGGGAGGAAGGGCAGUAAAUUAAUACUUUGCUGUUUUGACGUUACCGACAGAAUAAGCACCGGCUAACUCUGUGCCAGCAGCCGCGGUAAUACGAAUCACUAGUGAAUUCGCGGCCGCCUGCAGGUCGACCAUAUGGGAGAGCUCCCAA